UGACCUCAAAUCAGGUAGGAUUACCCGCUGAACUUAAGCAUAUCAAUAAGCGGGAGGAA
rnacentral:rRNA from 1 species